rnacentral:rRNA from 1 species
UGCAAGUCGAGCGAUCUCUUCGGAGAAGAGCGGCGGACGGGUGGAGUAACGCGUGGGUAACCUGCCUCAUACACAUGGAUAACAUACCGAAAGGUAUAGCUAAUACAGGAUAAUAUAAGAGAUUCACAUGGAUUCUAUCAAAGCUCCGGCGGUAUGAGAUGGACCCGCGUCUGAUUAGCUAGUUGGUAAGGUAACGGCUUACCAAGGCGACGAUCAGUAGCCGACCUGAGAGGGUGAUCGGCCACAUUGGAACUGAGACACGGUCCAAACUCCUACGGGAGGCAGCAGUGGGGAAUAUUGCACAAUGGGCGAAAGCCUGAUGCCAGCAACGCCGCGUGAGUGAUGAAGGCCUUCGGGUCGUAAAACUCUGUCCUCAAGGAAGAUAAUGACGGUACUUGAGGAGGAAGCCCCGGCUAACUACGUGCCAGCAGCCGC